rnacentral:pre_miRNA from 1 species
UAUUAGGUUGGUGCAAAAGUAAUUGUGGUUUUUGCCAUUUUAGGUUGGCGCAAAAGUAAUUUCGGUUUAGAAGUAAUGGCAAAAACCGCAAUUACUUUUGCACCAACCUAAUA